UAUGGGUAAGUUGCUAGGAAAUUGAAAUCUGAGCCAUAAAACUAUAUGUUUGUCCACUUAAUGGAUUAGUGACUUCUAAUACUUCCAUUCUCUUUACACAGGCCAUCUAACUGGAGGAAAAAGCGAAUCCCUUUUCACGACUUCAUGUUGGGUGUCCAUAGUCGCCUUCAAUCGAUCACAAUGCAUCAUUAACAUGAGAGAUGCAUCAGAGUAGACUUCCUUUUUCUCUAUACAGGGUCCGUGUAAACUGGAGUAGACUUCUACAAGAAGUUGUGUGGAGUAUCCAUUAUUCAAAGGUGAGCUUUUAUGCAAGUAUUGAAUUUGGAUUUUUGGCAUUAAAAACUAAGCGAGUAUUUUGAGAUAAAUAUGAGAUUUUGUUUCAAA